ensembl:lncRNA
ACAAAAGCCAUCUCGUCUGCGGUGUUUGGCCUGCUAGGCCCAAGCCCCUGCUAUUCCAAUAGAAAAGAUGCUCUGUUUCCAGCUGUGUUUUGUAGGUCUUUUAUUCUUCUCCAACACAGUUGCCGAUGUUUUCCCUUAUGAAACAGACCGUGCUGUAUGAGUGACUGUGCAACUUGGCCCUGUGUUUGAGCAUGAUCCUAAUGCCGGUGCAUGGAAAAGGAGACAAAGGUUAAGAAAGAGGGGAGAAGUUUCAUCCAUUCACAGUGCCACCCACCUGAAGUGGCCCUGAAAAAAAAAUAAGGGCUCUUCACGUUGAAAAGGCGACAACCUUGAGGGAUACGGUGUGUGCAUCUACACACUCAUGAACGUAUGGAAGUGGGUGAAUAGGGAAUUCAACAUUUCUCCGCAACUGGGUACCCAAAUGAUGUAUGAGGAUGCUUUCAAGUGCUGCAAUUAAUGUGUGAAAGUAAUUUCUGAUGGGUGUGUCUAGAAAUUAAACUGGAGAACUGGGGCAGCUCUGUCAGCGUAGGCUUGUUGGUGCUCAUUAAGCAAGGCAUCUCAAGGAAACUCCUUCCUCAACAAGUCCAUAAAUCAUGGAGCAGGGUAAGCACACCAGGGGGAGGCUUGCUCUACACUUAUCCCAUGCCCCAUGUUUUCUCCCUCAGGCUCCCACAGCCAUUUGCACUCAUCCCUCAUUACUGCAUUCCUGUCCUCACUUUUUUCCCCCCUAUAGUUUUGUUUGCACAGAAUCUCUGUGCACCUCCAAAGCUCUUCCCUGUGUCUGCAGAACUUUCUGAUAUAGGGAACACAUCUUCAAACAGGUCAUAUAGGAUCAGCUAGGGUAGGAAUCACUUUACAUAAAGCAAUUUCAGUGCUGAUGUCCAUGUAGACACUUGCUAUGGGGCCUGGAAAGGAAAAAAUGCUUUCUCAUCUUGGCAGUGCUGAGCGUUACAUGGCUUCUGAACAAAAGACAAGGGAGAAAUACUUAGUCGAAUAAAAGCAUAAUGAAACGUUCUGACCUUUUUCCCCCUGCACUCUUCUCGAGGAGCUCAUAUGCAGGCUUUUUUCAGGCAUUCGAGAGUGGCAAAUGUGAAAUGCUGAAUUUUAGUAAGUAACCUGCACAGGG